UGAUGACUCUAAAGUAUAUGAGGUAAAUAAACUCUUUGUUUUUUAAAUAACUUAGGUCCAUUUAUGAAAUAGAAGAAUUCGGUAUGUUUCAUCAUUUUCACCAAAAGGAAGGAAAUCAGCAAUGUAGCCCAACUCUCUGGGGCUCGAAGAUGCAACCUCAACAAUUAGGAAGGAAGAAGUUGUUGUGACUGAGGUCAAAGAAGUUGCUGCCUGUGUUCUCCUCAAGGAUUUGGAUGGAUUCCUGUCUCACACUGAGGUCUUUCAUCCAUUUGGAGUCUUAUUUUUAUUUGUGCAUGGUCCUGUUUGGAGUUUCCAAACCCAGCAGAUCCUGCUACAUUGCUCCUCCUGGAGAAGGAAGCUGAGUCUCCCCAUAUCUGCCACUUAUUGGGUCCCUGAUUGAAGAGCAGUGUUCCAGCUGUGCUUUGGAUCAUGAUUUAAG
rnacentral:lncRNA from 1 species